AUAUCAAUAAGCGGAGGAAAAGAAACCAACAGGGAUUGCCUUAGUAACGGCGAGUGAAGCGGCAACAGCUCAAACUUGAAAUCUGGCCUUACGGUCCGAGUUGUAAUUUGUAGAGGAUGUUUCGGUAUUGCCACUAAUCUAAGUCCCUUGGAACAGGGUGUCAUAGAGGGUGAGAGUCCCGUAUGUGAUUAGUUGUCUUUGCCAUGUGAAACUCCUUCGACGAGUCGAGUUGUUUGGGAAUGCAGCUCUAAUUGGGAGGUAAAUUUCUUCUAAAGCUAAAUACUGGCCAGAGACCGAUAGCGCACAAGUAGAGUGAUCGAAAGAUGAAAAGCACUUUGGAAAGAGAGUUAAACAGUACGUGAAAUUGUUGAAAGGGAAGCGCUUGCAAUCAGACCUGCUUGCAGUUAUUCAUCUAAACUUUCGGGUUUAGUGCAUUUUUCUGUAAGUCAGGCCAGUAUCAGUUCAGGCGGUUGGAUAAAGAAUUCAGGAAUGUAGCUCCUUUCGGGGAGUGUUAUAGCCUGUUUUGUAAUGCAACCAGCCUGGAUUGAGGACCGCGCUUCGGCUAGGAUACUGGCGUAAUGGUUGUAAGCGG
rnacentral:rRNA from 1 species